CUUGUCCCAGCCUCCGCUUUCACUUCCCGCGUUCCCUUUACCCCAAAAACCGCCCCAACAUGUCCAGAGAGGGGCAUCUACCCAGCCGCCCAGCCAGGGGCGACCACUUUGUGAGCCCCGGGGAGCGGGACCCGUACCAGGCGCGCCCAGCGGGGGAUGCGGUGACCAAGGGGCCGGGAGCGCCGGGCAGCACCAGCACUCGAUGUGUCUUAAAUGUGAUCAGCAGUGAUGGUGAGCUUGUCAAUAAUGACUCCAUCUCCAUGACUUGUGAAUAGGCGGUGAGUGUGUCCUUUAAUCAGUCACACAGAACUUGCUUUAUAAAGCUGUUAUUGUCAUGAACAGAUAUUGCAGUCUUUUGUCAGGCCCAGUGAUUAUUAAAGUGUUCCUUCUUCAAAAGCCAGGCCGAAAGUCCUGCUGUGCUUCAUUUCACAAUUGAAGUCCAUUAGUAAAUAAAAUCCCAAGCCGCACGAUUUGCUGUUCCUCAAGUUAUAGGCUUACAUAUAUUUCAUUAAUAAUCUUGGGCCCUUUUGUAGACAUAAGUAGGUAUAUUUUUGGUAUAUAUAUGGCAACAAAAAUAAAAUAUGUAUCUUGCAGCAUGACUUUUAUUUUAAAUGAAGAUUUGAUGGAUUUCCAUUGUUACUCUAAAUGAGCUGGCUGGCUGCCAAGGGAAACCCUAUAGUCAGAAAGUACUAGAAUUGUUACUGUCUACAGGGAAUCACUUUCUAUUUUUUGAGUUCUCAACUUCACCUCCUCCUUUCAAUAGUGC
rnacentral:lncRNA from 1 species